CACAGUUCCAGCAAUGACGUGUCAGUUCGUGAUUGGCCAAAUUAAAAAAAAAACUCACUUGUUUCUCUCUCUCUCUCUCCAUCGGCGAGAGCCUGAGCCGAUGUCGAUGUAAAUUCAAGAGGAAUCGGCGGAGGUGAUCGAACGGCGAAAGCAGUCGUCGCCGAUCAGAUCACACAAGCCGUUAAUUCUACUGCUAAUCUUCUUCAACUGAUGCGUCAAUCGUCUUCUUCUCAGGUUUGUUUGAUGAAGACCUUUUGAGUUGAUUCUGAUAUAUAAAAUGGGGAUUUGGUGAAUAGUUUCAGACAUAUAUGCAACAGUUUCGUUGUUGUUCUUAACAGCUACGAAUCUUGGACUAGAACAGUCUCAUUUCACUUUCCUCAUCAUGGGACAAUAGUGUUUCAAGUCUGAACUCAAAUGGUGGCCAGGAGGGGCAGAAGAAAUAGCUUGGACUCCUCUGCAUCUAUGGGAACUAGAAGAUCGAAGAAGAAGCAGAUCAAAGUCACCUCUUUGAAGCCAUUGAAACUCAGAACUGAGGCAAAGAGGAAGCAAGUCUUGGAAUGCAUAAAUGGCAAAGAAGAAGCAAGUGUUGCAGAGUGUGUGUCAAGUAAAUAUAGUCAAGUGUUAUACACAAUUUUUUUCAAAAUUUAAAAUUUUAAGAACCUUCAAUGAUUCUACCAUUGGACUAUCCCAAAUUUAGAAGUAUCUAAAAUUCUAGUUUUGUGUUUUUUUCAAUUAUAAAAUAGAUAGAACCUCCAAACUUAAUGACCGUGCAGAACCACUUAAGCUAAUUUCAGACUUCCUCCCUUAUGCGGGUGGGUACUAAAUGACCGUGCAGAAGCAUUUACA